rnacentral:rRNA from 1 species
AAAGAUUCUUCGGAGGAUUUCCUAUUUGACUGAGCGGCGGACGGGUGAGUAACGCGUGGGUAACCUGCCUCAUACAGGGGGAUAACAGUUAGAAAUGACUGCUAAUACCGCGUAAGACCACAGCCUCACAUGGGGCAGGGGUCAAAGGAGCAAUCCGGAUAAAGAUGGGCUCGCGUCUGAUUAGCUAGUUGGUGAGGUAACGGCCCACCAAGGCGACGAUUGGUAGCCGGACUGAGAGGUUGAACGGCCACAUUGGGACUGAGACACGGCCCAGACUCC